UUUGACUAAUUAAUAAUCUAAAUGCAUAACUAGUCUUUGUGAUUUUAACCAUGAUCAUAGCGUAUCGCUUUACUUCUUUGAUCAGUAAUGAAAUAUAUUAGUAGCAUCUUUGUUGUCAAAAAAAAAAAUUAUUCUCCAUUUGGAUCUAUUACUUACAGAUUUAUUUUUUAGUCAAUGUAGUUUUCUGACCGGUUAAAAAACCUUUAAACCCUUUAGAAUCUAUUUUGCCUCUGUUUAGAACACCUAACAUUCUAUAUUUUUUGUUUUGUUUUUGGUAUUAUACUUUCUAUAACUAUCUCUAAACAUAUUUUAUUAAUGUAGAUACGAAUUGAGAACAAUUUCUAUCGUACACACACGAUUUGACAUAUAACAAUGCAUUUGGUUUCGUUAAAUAGGGACUGAUCUAUGUGUUAGCUUGUGUGGACUUAUGACUACACAAACUAUUUAGAAUUUGUUUUUUUAGUAGUAUAAUAUAGUUAAAGUUUUUUUAUCAUCUUACUGUUCUUCUCUCAUAUGUUUUUGCUCAUUCUCAUCAAAAUAGUCGAGCGUGAAUUAACUCACCCAGAUGUAUUCUCAGCGUGAGUUAACUCAUGCAAUGAAUUUCUCAAUAAAAAUGAACAAAAACAGAUGGGAGAAAAGCAAUUCUAUUUUUAUCAUGUGUAAAUUUUGACCAAAUGGUCAAAAUGGCUCACACCUCUCACACAACCUUUCUUUCUUGGCCUCCCUUAUUUUGACCAAAUGAAAAAAAUCAUUCAAUAUUUUUAGAAUAUAAAAUGUCAAAAUGGCCUCUCACACAACUUUUCAAAAUUUAUGGAUCUGUCAUUAUCUU
rnacentral:lncRNA from 1 species